rnacentral:rRNA from 1 species
AUUGAACGCUGGCGGCACGCCUAACACAUGCAAGUCGAGCGGUAGCAUGAGUAGUAGCAAUACUACUUGAUGACGAGCGGCGGACGGGUGAGGAACACGUAGGAACUUGCCUUUUAGAGGGGGAUAACUAAGGGAAACUUUAGCUAAUACCGCGUAAUCUCGCGAGAGUAAAGCUGCCCGCAAGGGUGGCGCUAAAAGAGAGGCCUGCGUCCGAUUAGCUAGUUGGUGAGGUAAUGGCUCACCAAGGCGAUGAUCGGUAACUGGUCUGAGAGGACGACCAGUCACACUGGGACUGAGACACGGCCCAGACUCCUACGGGAGGCAGCAGUGGGGAAUAUUGGACAAUGGGGGCAACCCUGAUCCAGCGAUGCCGCGUGAGUGAAGAAGGCCCUCGGGUCGUAAAGCUCUUUAGGUUGGGAAGAAGGACGUUAGGCUAAUACCCUGAUGUUUUGACGGUACCGACAGAAUAAGCACCGGCAAACUCUGUGCCAGCCGCCGCGGUAA